AAUCCAUAGGUUAAUGAGGCGAACCGGGGGAACUGAAACAUCUAAGUACCCCGAGGAAAAGAAAUCAACCGAGAUUCCCCCAGUAGCGGCGAGCGAACGGGGAGGAGCCCAGAGCCUGAAUCAGCAUGUGUGUUAGUGGAAGCGUCUGGAAAGGCGCGCGAUACAGGGUGACAGCCCCGUACACAAAAGCGCAUGUGCUGUGAGCUCGAUGAGUAGGGCGGGACACGUGGUAUCCUGUCUGAAUAUGGGGGGACCAUCCUCCAAGGCUAAAUACUCCUGACUGACCGAUAGUGAACCAGUACCGUGAGGGAAAGGCGAAAAGAACCCCGGCGAGGGGAGUGAAAAAGAACCUGAAACCGUGUACGUACAAGCAGUGGGAGCACAGGUUUACCUGUGUGACUGCGUACCUUUUGUAUAAUGGGUCAGCGACUUAUAUUCUGUAGCAAGGUUAACCGUAUAGGGGAGCCGUAGGGAAACCGAGUCUUAAUUGGGCGUUAAGUUGCAGGGUAUAGACCCGAAACCCGGUGAUCUAGCCAUGGGCAGGUUGAAGGUUGGGUAACACUAACUGGAGGACCGAACCGACUAAUGUUGAAAAAUUAGCGGAUGACCUGUGGCUGGGGGUGAAAGGCCAAUCAAACCGGGAGAUAGCUGGUUCUCCCCGAAAGCUAUUUAGGUAGCGCCUCGUGAAUUCAUCUCCGGGGGUAGAGCACUGUUUCGGCUAGGGGGCCAUCCCGGCUUACCAACCCGAUGCAAACUGCGAAUACCGGAGAAUGUUAUCACGGGAGACACACGGCGGGUGCUAACGUCCGUCGUGAAGAGGGAAACAACCCAGACCGCCAGCUAAGGUCCCAAAGUCAUGGUUAAGUGGGAAACGAUGUGGGAAGGCCCAGACAGCCAGGAUGUUGGCUUAGAAGCAGCCAUCAUUUAAAGAAAGCGUAAUAGCUCACUGGUCGAGUCGGCCUGCGCGGAAGAUGUAACGGGGCUAAACCAUGCACCGAAGCUGCGGCAGCGACGCUUAUGCGUUGUUGGGUAGGGGAGCGUUCUGUAAGCCUG
rnacentral:rRNA from 1 species